rnacentral:antisense_RNA from 1 species
GAUUGGCUACCUCCUCAUAACCAUAAGAUAAUUAAAACUUGGCGGGGGGGGGGGCAGGGUUAAAAAAACUUUUUUUUUUUAAUCAGUCAGAGGAUAAUGCAAGUGUUUAACAGAUGCUUCACUAUUAAAAUAUUUUCCCCCCAAGUCUCAAAUAUUGAAGAAUCUCUAACCAGGGACACCAGUCCCAACGAAGACCUUGGGCGAUUUCAAAGUGCGGGCACCUCGAUUCCCCGAAUCUGUAGUGUGGCUGGUAUCGGUGUUUCCCUGGUUUAACUAGCCUGCUUGAAGGCGCAGAUCAUUCAUGGGGAAGUAAAACCGAAACCAGUCCUCUCCACCCCCUGCGGGUCUUCACUUUCCCAGUCUACAUCUGCCUGUGACUCCAGAAAGACAAACUGCAGAUUGGCCAAGCUGCCUGAAGAUCCAGCCCGACAGCGAUGCCUGCCAGCCCGCGUCGCCCACCAGGGCAGCUGCUCUCCCGACUCGCAUGGGGGGCACCACCCCGCCUCGGUGCCCUGGAGCUGAGCGCAGCCGCGGCUCCACGGGGAUCGCCAGGGCCUCAACCCUCGCGGCCGGCGGCGCGCGAGUGUUGCGGGGCAGGGACCAGAGUGCGACCAGAGCGGCCACCCCCGAUUUAGGUCGCCAGCUUUCCAAUCACUGCGAUGGCCACUGGGGCGCCCCUUCCAUCCUGGUUAAAUUAUCAUUGUGAUCCCCAGCCCCCUUCUCGGUUCCCAACACCCAGGAGGCCGGUUCUCCGCCGCUCAGGCCGGGAGAGGUCACAGCUCCGGGCAGGGUGGACCCCCAGCUCCGUCUCGGAGGGCCUUUCGCCGGAGGCGAGCAGGAAGGGGUUAACCAUGAGCCUCCCACCCUCACCUCCCAGCCCCUGGUGCCGGGCGAGCGAAGGCCUCCGCUUCCCUCCUGAGGUCUCAUUAGGAAACCCUCACCGCUAUUUUCAACAUUUCCUCAAUCAAGUGCCUUUAAAUAGAGCUGCACAAACAGAUUGGCGGCAAAAGCGUAGAUCUUGUCACGAUUGAGACCAAUCCAAUAUUUCGGCCUUGUUUGCUUUGCAAUUACGGGUUGGCUUGUGGCUGCGGUGCCACCGGGGCAAAUCUGCAGCCGCUCGCUUUCUCCUCUGCACUCCGGGCGGGUGGAGGAAGCGACCCGCGGAGUCACUGCAGGGAGGAGAGGGGGACGCGCGUGGGGGGAGGCGGCGGAGGGCGGAGGAGCCUCGCUUGCACCCCAGGGCCUCUGGCACGCAGAGCUGUGUUGAAGGACAUACUUUUCAGGUUCCUGACAGUCACUGAGCUAUACGCAAUAAUAAAAUGCGUGAUUCGCGUGUGGAAACCAGUGUCGUGUCCUUACCAGCUUCCUUUUCUGCCCACCUUCCCUCUCUCUUCUACCUCCGUUUCGCUUUUCUUCAGUGUAUGUUAGCGGUUUGCUGGAUUUUCCUUCUCCCUCGCUGUUCAACUGCUAGCAUGAUUUGUUACAUUUUCCACAGCUGUUUAUUCUUGUUUGACUUUUUGUACAAAGUCACUUUAAAUCUGCUGCAGAAAGAAUAAAGCUCCUAGCCCUUUGGAUGGGCUCCUGCAGGCGUGUGGCUGUCCCUGGCCCACUUUUAAUUCUUUGAAAAUGGCUCUUCUGUGUAAAUCAGCUGCUGGGUGCGUUCGGUCACCUCGUAGGCCAGCCUAGUUUGUGUCAGCAGAACAGUAGUGAACUCAAAUCAGGUCGUAAGCCUUAUAUUUCACAGACAAUUAAAUCUUGGCUGCUGUUGAACAAAACUGUAAUAUUUACUCUGCUCUAUACCGAGGAGCACUUUUAAAGUAAAAAAGAAAAAAAACAAAACAAAUACUACACUUCAAAAAGAAAAUAUGACAAUGAAUCUCUUUUUAUGGAUUCUCUCUGCGUAAGUGGAAACAAUAUGAUUUAAAUCCCCAACACCCCAUCCCCCUUUUCAGACACAGCUGAAGUGAUACAGAUACUGUCUUCUAAUACAUAAUCUCCCUCUCUCGGGAGAGGCACCUACCUGUGCUACAUUCGAUUUAGUUUGUAAGGUUUCAGGCCCCUCCCCGACCCACGUAAUAUGUAACAAGGAUUAUCAAAUAAUAAGGUCUUGGAUGUGAAGUCUGCUUUACACAAGAAUUCAAGAAAGAUAGGCAGGCUUGAGUAAUUAUGUUACAACUUCUUAUUACUUUCCAAAUGAAUACCCAUUUUCUUCUCAUGUCAACUCCUAGAGAUGGGAUGCUGAGGCAGAGAAAUUUUUUAUGAGACUCUGGAGUACAUAUUAAAAUGUGCUUCCUUAUUAUUUAAGAAUGUGUAAGGUAUGGACCUACAUUUGUUUGCUGGUGGUCAUAAAAUAAAUUCAUAACCAUUGUUGGCCAAUAAGCAAUCUCCUUCACGCUUUAAAAGUUUUUGGUUUAUAAUCCCACCUGGAUUGUAUUUUCACGAUUCUGUAUCACUCUCCUAUUGCAAUAUUUUGGUUCUCAAUCUUAUGUAAAGCAAACCUCAGAAAUGAUCGUUUCCAUAAAAUUGUGCAAUGGCAAAGCCACGGAAUAAUAUUUUGAGUCCAUAUAGCCAUGCAUGCUCACGUAUAUAGCUCUUAUACAGUUUUCUAGCUAACCGAUUGCUUUGGUAUUUCAAGAAAUAGGAAGCAGUAGCUACCUAUUUGAAUGAAAGGAUACCAUUUCAUAAGAAUUCUAUUUUCACUGAAAAAAUUGGUCUGGCACAUUAUUCAAUGCAAAAGAUUAUAAUAUUACUUUCACGUGUGUUAAUCUGUUUAGCAUAAAACUGCUAGGGUGUCUUAACCAUUAACGUGUUUUGCCACACCACUUUCAAAUGGUGAUCUGAGAUAAUUACAAAGAUUUUGAUGUUAAUCCCACGUUAAAUGAACAACUAUGAAAAUAAUCUUAAAGCAUUAUUAUUCCCAUAUAAAUGCCAGCAAACCCAAUUGUGGAGAGAAUAUGAUUACUUUUUAUCUGACAUUAUCCUAUAAGGAUAUGGCUACAUUUAUUUCUUUUAAAAUUGGAGCAGUUUUAAAUUACUUUUUAACAGAAUUGUUUUCAACACAGCAUUUUCAGUGCCCAUAAACCAUAGCAACUUUGUACUGAUCGAUACAUAUUUUUCUACAUUAUUAUUCGUUAGCCUCUUUGCAAACUCACUAAAAUAGAAUAGUAUUAAAAUACGAACAUAUAGAGAACAAUUAUUAGGUUCUACAUAUUUAUUUAGGUAAACCAAUGUUAUUAAAAUUAAAAACAUGUGCCUGGCAUAUAAGUGCUUCUUUAGGAAUUCUUUUUUGGAUGCAUAGUUAUUAUUUUUUAAACAAACUCAGAUUUUCAAACUCUGAUUUUCUUCUCUGAACAGGCAUUGCAUUGUUUUAAACAGUAGCUCCUGGAAUAAUGCCACCUUUAGUAUUUUAGACUUUCAAACAACAAUUGGAAUUGGAUAAAUGCUUUCAGCUGAGAGCACUUUCUUAAUACCUUUGUAGGUAAUGGGAUUCUCUAUUUGUGCUGGGUGACAAACGGACAGUGCCCUGGACAGACUGCCUACCCUCUGCAGAAUCUACCAAAAAGUAGAGUUUUCCCAUGAGCUCACUGCUUGUGGUCCAUGUAAAAAUGAAAAAAAAAAAAAAUCAGAGAAAACGAGCAAGGCCUUUUCUAACUACAGUUAUGAAAUGAUGGCUUAAAGAGGUAUUUAGAAAAUAAGAGUGGAAUAAUACAGAAACAAAAUCUGAAAAAGAAAGUUUGCUUAGGAGCUGAUGCUCUUUGUCUACAAACAAGAGGGUAAGGAGCUGGAUCCAACUGAAUUGAAUUGUUUUUGUUUGCUUGUUUGUUUUCUUCCAUUCAGUGCCUUUCAAAUUGUUUUUUACUGGAUGAAGAAACUCAACCAAGAAAAUAUAUGUCAAUUCUUGUAUAUGGGACAAUAUUAGCUGCUGUGAUUUUUAAUACUAGCAUAAAAUAUAAGAAUGUUUUUAUUACUGUGACAUUGUUUUUUUCUAAAUGAAUGCAUAGUGUAACAAUUGGUGUCAAAAAGCAUUGAAUUUUUUUCAAAUGGAUUAAGCUGGAAUAAUAAAGUGUAUCUAUGAGAUGAUUUCUGUAAACUCUGACUUGCUGAGAAAAAAGUGAAAAAGCUUUUUCUGGAAGAAACAUGGCAACUUAACCAUUAUUAAUCUGGACUAAAUAAAACAGGAAACUGCUUCUUUACAUUUCUAGUAAUUUUUUCUGCUUUUCCAAACAUUGUUAAGUUCUAUGCAACUUGUGCUACUCAAGUAAAGAUGAUGUCAGUAAUAAAAUUACAGAAUCUA